rnacentral:lncRNA from 1 species
UGUGGAUUAAUGUUGUGAUAUAUUUGUUCCCUUUUUGCUUUUCUGUUCUCCCUGGAAGCAGUUUCUACUGUUCUUCUUGUUCUUUCUGAGCUGAUUGCCACACAGGUGACUCUGCCUCAAUCUUAUUCCUGAGAAGAAUAACCAACUCAACACCUGACACUUAUGGGGCUUUUUUUGACUGCUGGUGAGACUAUUCAGAGAUUGCUAUGAAGCCUCUGUUGCAUAUGCCUUCCACUUGUGCCCUGAUCAAGUCACAGGAAAGGGCUCCGUCUCUGAAGAUUAUGGGCUGCCUGGAAUGAAUUUGUCUUCCCACCACCUGCACAUUGGUCAGAUAAAGCCUCAAGUCUAUGCUGAGAUGCUGAACAGUGUAUUGUGGCAUUUGGGACAGUGCAUCUCCCAGACAGAGGAGCUUCUUGCUGACCUCUCAGUGGUACCCAAAGGUGAGUUCUGCAGCCUCUGACUUGCUCCUUGGUAGUUUGGGCAGCAUGGCUGUAUCAUGUGUAAGUUUAUAGAACAGUUUGAGCUUUG